CUGGCCUCCAUGUUUGUGGACAGCAGGUUAACAGCGGUUAAAGGUCAGAGAGGUCGGACUAAAGCACAAAAAUCUAUAAACCUGUGUCAUACAGUGAAAUGAAAACAAAACACAUCGACUGGCGAGGAGUCCGUCUUCGCAUCAUAACGAGUCUCAUAUCGAGGCUGACGGAGAUAAACACGCUUUCAGACGUGAUGGAGACUCAGGCGGUGACGAGGAUGCGGAGAGCUGAAUGAAAUCAGCCCAGAUCGAACUUCCUGCUGCCGAUGGUAUCUGCUGUGUGAGCUGCUGGUUUUAUUACAGGGAACAGCGGGCGCGAGGGAAAGGUCGCCCUGCAGAUAUUGUUUUCUCGUUCCCGGCGGCCUGCGGGUCACAAAUAUCGACUGGGCCGCUUCCUGUUAUACGAAUGAAACCGUAUUCGGGAGAGAGGACGCGAGCAGGCGGGCAGAGGGAGCUGAACACAAAUGAACUUUAAUGUUACAGUUUGGCUACAAGAACACGUAACAUACGCGAACUGUCUGCAGAGUUUAUGUCCUGUUACAGCUGCGGCACAUUCAGCACGAAGCUCUGAGGCAGCUGCUGUUAACAAAGGAGGGAAGAAAGUAAAAGAAAAGAAAGAAAGGAGGAAGUAAAGGAACCUAAGAAAGGAAAUGAAGAAAAGAUGGAAGGAAGGAGGCAAAGAAUGGAGAAAGAACAAAAAAGAAAGAAGAGAAAAGGUAAAAAGAAAAAGCAGCAAACGAAGGAAUAUGAGGAAUGAAAAGGAAAAGGCGGGAUGGAGGAGAGGAAGGAAGGAAGGAAGGAUGAAUUCCUCAACCACUCGUCAAAUAUGUAGGUUUCAUUUCAAAAAUAAAAACAUUGUUAUGACCUGUUUUUGCUUGCACCACCUACACGCUGCUAUCACACCUGAUGUAGCUGCUUUCAGGGAUUAGAUUGGAGGUGUGCAGUGCUGCAUACGCUCGCUGCUACACGAAGAUGCAGCGUUACAGGAGGAAGUGUGGUGCUGGUUGGGGCAAGAUAACCAUUUACAAACUCAUCAAGCAAGAACAAAUCCACACAGGCAGGAACACCAUCUCCUCCACCGCAACAGAAAGCUCAAAGCUAACUGCGAGUGAACCACGAUGCAGCACUGCAAACACUCAGCGGGCUGAGGUCACACAGACUGAGCGUAUGGGGUUAAAAGGGUCACCAAGACCACAACAACCUGGUGCUGAAUGCCCAGAAGACAGUGGAGAUUAUUGUGGACUUCAGGAAGCACACAGCCGCACUCCCCCCCAUCAUCCUGUCUGACACCCCCAUCACCUCUGUGGACUCAUUCUGCUUCCUGGGUACCACCAUCACCCAGGACCUGAAGUGGGAGCCCACCAUCACCUCCGUCAUCAAGAAAGCCCAGCAGAGGAUGUACUUCCUGAGGCAGCUGAAGAAAUUCAACCUGCCAACACGGACGAUGAUGCAGUUCUACACUGCAAUCAUCGAGUCCAUCCUCACCUCCUCCAUCACCGUGUGGUACGCUGGAGCCACUAUCAGGGACAAACAGAGACUGCAGCGUGUUGUGCGCUCUGCUGAGAAGGUGAUUGGCUGCAGACUCCCAUCUCUGCAGGACCUGUACACCUCCAGGACAUUGCGGCGUGCAGCUCAGUCACAGCUGACCCUUCUCAC
ensembl:lncRNA